rfam:Gossypium hirsutum cultivar TM-1 chromosome 1, whole genome shotgun sequence
UGUUAAAUUUUUUAUUCAUUAUUUGUACUAUUAAAAAUUAGCGUGGAUGAUGGAAUAAUAAGUCAGUGACAUGUAGUGUUCCCUGUAUACCAUAUGCUGACAUACAAAGACCAAAUUUUAACAGUAGAAAUGCAUAAAAAUGUUAACA